rnacentral:rRNA from 1 species
GACAGAGGGUGCAAACGUUGCUCGGAAUCACUGGGCGUAAAGGGCGUGUAGGCGGGAAGGAAAGUCAGAUGUGAAAUCCCUGGGCUCAACCUGGGAACUGCAUCCGAAACUGCCUUGCUAGAGUAUGGGAGAGGGAAGUGGAAUUUCCGGUGUAGCGGUGAAAUGCGUAGAUAUCGGGAGGAACACCAGUGGCGAAGGCGACUUCCUGGCCUGUUCUUGACGCUGAGGCGCGAAAGCUAGGGGAGCAAACGGG